UACGUAGGCAGCGAGCGUUGUUCGGAGUUACUGGGCGUAAAGGGUGUGUAGGCGGUCAAAUAAGUCAACUGUUAAAUCUUGAGGCUCAACCUCAAAUCGCAGUCGAAACUAUUCGACUAGAGUAUAGUAGGGGUAAAGGGAAUUUCCAGUGGAGCGGUGAAAUGCGUAGAGAUUGGAAAGAACACCGAUGGCGAAGGCACUUUACUGGGCUAUUACUAACACUGAGAGACGAAAGCUAGGGUAGCAAAU
rnacentral:rRNA from 1 species